AUUAAACGCUGGCGGCAUGCCUUACACAUGCAAGUCGAACGGCAGCACGGGAGCAACCCUGGUGGCGAGUGGCGAACGGGUGAGUAAAGCAUCGGAACGUGCCCUGGAGUGGGGGAUAACGUAGCGAAAGUUACGCUAAUACCGCAUAUUCUGUGAGCAGGAAAGCAGGGGAUCGCAAGACCUUGCGCUUUGGGAGCGGCCGAUGUCGGAUUAGCUAGUUGGUGGGGUAAAGGCCUACCAAGGCGACGAUCCGUAGCGGGUCUGAGAGGAUGAUCCGCCACACUGGGACUGAGACACGGCCCAGACUCCUACGGGAGGCAGCAGUGGGGAAUUUUGGACAAUGGGCGCAAGCCUGAUCCAGCCAUGCCGCGUGAGUGAAGAAGGCCU
rnacentral:rRNA from 1 species